CUCAUCUUCAUCCCUGAGGACGAACAGAAACACUUUUGGCAUGAUCCAUAUCGAGAAAAAACUUCCAAGGAAUCCACAGCAGCAAAGAGGAAGUGGAUUCCCUGCUCAACACAUAUAAAGGGAAACAACCACAUGGCCUUGCCGAAGAGCGUAUGCAGGAAAUGUUCACAUCAAAAGUUCCAGACUCCAUCCAGGCAAUAUUUAACAAUGUUGCUCAGUAACGUCAUAUAGAAAUGCCUCCAGUGGCUUUUGAAAAUAAGUAUUAAUCUCAAAAAAGCUAAAUAAAAUCAGGAGCUCCCGAAAUGUACGUCUUGCCGCUUCGGCAGUCAGUUUCGCCCCCAGGAUGGGGAACAUUGUAUUGCUUUAGCAAUGACAGCUGAUACAAAUCAUUUAUUAGUCUCCUAUUUUGAAUAAACACAGCUUGCUUUUUGUCUUGUUUAUUACCCUCUGGCAGGAAAUUGCUUAGCUAAAACAUAAAUAAAUUCCUGAGUAAUCAUUA